UACGUAGGGGUGCAAGCGUUUAAUCGGAAUUACUGGGCGUAAAGCGUGCGCAGGCGGUUUUGUAAGACCGAUGUGAAAUCCCCGGGCUUAACCUGGGAACUGCAUUGGUGACUGCAAGGCUUGAGUGUGUCAGAGGGAGGUGGAAUUCCGCGUGUAGCAGUGAAAUGCGUAGAGAGUGUGGAGGAACACCGAUGGCGAAGGCAGCCCCUGGGCUAACACUGACGCUCAUGCACGGAAAGCGUGGGGAGCAAACAGG
rnacentral:rRNA from 1 species